UGCCCUCAGCUCAGUUGGA
rnacentral:miRNA from 1 species